AUGAAUGGUUCGGAUGAAUCCACCAACAAUAACCCCCCGGAGAUUGAAAUUCCAACUUUAAUUACAUGGAGUCAAGGAGGAAACGAGGUGUUUGUGGAAGGAUCAUGGGAUAACUGGACAUCAAGGUUUACCCUUUACCUGAUGUGUUAUUCGAAUGUUCUAUCCAAUUCUGAAAACGACAUGCUAAAAUACCAAAUAAAUAUCCAUAUGAGUACUUUCAGGAAGGUGUUAGAGAGGUCUGGGAAAGAUCACGCUGUGUUGUUGGUUCUGCCAUCUGGAAUAUAUCAUUACAGGAUGAUUGUUGAUGGGGUGCCGAGAUAUGUGUCCGAACUACCUCAUGUGACUGAUGAAAGAGGGCAGGUGGCCAACCUCCUUGAUGUCCAUGAGUAUAUCCCAGAUAGUCUUGACAGCGUGGCGGAGUUCGACGCGCCCCCAUCGCCUGAGCAGUGA
rnacentral:rRNA from 1 species